rnacentral:rRNA from 1 species
UACGGAGGAUCCGAGCGUUAUCCGGAUUUAUUGGGUUUAAAAGGAGCGUAGGUGGAUUGUUAAGUCAGUUGUGAAAGUUUGCGGCUCAACCGUAAAAUUGCAGUUGAAACUGGCAGUCUUGAGUACAGUAGAGGUGGGCGGAAUUCGUGGUGUAGCGGUGAAAUGCUUAGAUAUCACGAAGAACUCCGAUUGCGAAGGCAGCUCACUAGACUGCAACUGACACUGAUGCUCGAAAGUGUGGGUAUCAAACAGG